CUAGCGUGGCCUGGUACCUAGUGGGCACCUCAUGGCCCAUCUUGGCGUAAUUCCAAUGCUAGAAAUUCCUAUAAAUAGAGAAGCCUCCAGAAAUAAUCCUCGAUUAGAAGUUCUGCCGUCGCAAGCCUCUAUAGCCAUGAAAAGGCAAUCGGGAGCCCGUUCCGGCACCCUGCCGGAGGGGGAGAUAAUCUCCGGUGGCCAUCUGCAUCAUCCCAAUGGAGGCCAUGAUGAGGAGGGAGUAGUCCACCCUCGGGGCUGAGGGUUUGUACCAG
rnacentral:lncRNA from 1 species